rnacentral:rRNA from 1 species
UACGGAGGAUCCGAGCGUUAUCCGGAUUUAUUGGGUUUAAAGGGUGCGCAGGCGGGAGAUUAAGUUGGCGGUGAAAUUUUGCAGCUCAACUGUAAAAGUGCCUUCGAAACUGGUUUCCUUGAGUGUAGAUGAAGUAGGCGGAAUUUGUGGUGUAGCGGUGAAAUGCAUAGAUAUCACGAGGAACUCCGAUUGCGCAGGCAGCUUACUAAACUACUACUGACGCUCAGGCACGAAGGCGUGGGGAUCAAACAGGAUUAGAUACCCUGGUAGU